rnacentral:rRNA from 1 species
UCGGCGGACGGGUGAGUAACGCGUGGAUAACCUGCCUCAUACAGGGGGGUAACAGUUAGAAAUGACUGCUAAUACCGCAUAAGCACCCGGGAGCGCAUGCUCCUGGGUGAAAAGCUCCGGCGGUAUGAGAUGGAUCCGCGUCUGAUUAGCUGGUUGGCGGGGUAACGGCCCACCAAGGCGACGAUCAGUAGCCGACCUGAGAGGGUGGCCGGCCACAUUGGGACUGAGACACGGCCCAAACUCCUACGGAAGGCAGCAG